rnacentral:rRNA from 1 species
CGCGCCAUCAGCUAGUGUGCCCAGCCGCCGCGGUAAUACGGAGGGGGCUAGCGUUGUUCGGAAUUACUGGGCGUAAAGAGUGCGUAGGCGGUUUAGUAAGUUGGAAGUGAAAGCCCGGGGCUUAACCUCGGAAUUGCUUUCAAACUACUAAUCUAGAGUGUAGUAGGGGGAUGAUGGAAUUCCUAGUGUAGAGGUGAAAUUCUUAGAUAUUAGGAGGAACACCGGUGGCGAAGGCGGUCAUCUGGGCUACAACUGACGCUGAUGCACGAAAGCGUGGGAGCAAACAGGAUUAGAUACCCUGGUAGUCCACGCCGUAAACGAUGAGUGCUAGAUAUUGGGAGAUUUUCUCUCGGUUUCGCAGCUAACGCAUUAAGCACUCCGCCUGGGGAGUACGGUCGCAAGAUUA